rnacentral:rRNA from 1 species
AAAUUGAAGAGUUUGAUCAUGGCUCAGAUUGAACGCUGGCGGCAGGCCUAACACAUGCAAGUCGAACGGUAACAGGAAACAGCUUGCUGUUUCGCUGACGAGUGGCGGACGGGUGAGUAAUGUCUGGGAAACUGCCUGAUGGAGGGGGAUAACUACUGGAAACGGUAGCUAAUACCGCAUAACGUCGCAAGACCAAAGAGGGGGACCUUAGGGCCUCUUGCCAUCGGAUGUGCCCAGAUGGGAUUAGCUAGUAGGUGGGGUAAAGGCUCACCUAGGCGACGAUCCCUAGCUGGUCUGAGAGGAUGACCAGCCACACUGGAACUGAGACACGGUCCAGACUCCUACGGGAGGCAGCAGUGGGGAAUAUUGCACAAUGGGCGCAAGCCUGAUGCAGCCAUGCCGCGUGUAUGAAGAAGGCCUU